UAUUCAACCUUCAAAUUGGGCCUAUACAAGAAGCUUGGGCCGGGUUAAUUAAGCAUAAUGGGCUGAACUCAUUAAGAAGGCCUGAGAUGAUGGGUGUAAUGUUUAAGUGAUUUAUAUAUGUGUGUAUAUUAGUGGAGGGACCCACAGAUGUUUUUUUUCUAAAGUGGUCAUAAGACCACUUUUUUUUUUUUUUUUUUUUGUUGCUCUAUUAUGUCAUUCUCUCUCCCGUCUGUCUCUCUGUAUCUUCCUCUCUGUAUUUUUUUUCUUUUUGCAACUUCCACUCUUGAUAUCUUCUUCAUUUCUUGGUGUUUUUAAGAGCCGUUUGCGACUAUUCGAAGCCCACAACGAGAUCAACAUAUUGAUAGGAGCAAUUCCUUGAUUGGUGCACUAUAGGAGAUUCGAAAUCCUAGGGUUUGAGGUAAAGAGAUUGGGGGUUUUGCUUAAAAGUGAGAGCCGUUUGCGGCUAUUCGAAGCCCACGACGAGAUCAACACGUUGAUAGGAGCAAUUCCUUGAUUGAUGCACUAUAGGAGAUUCGAAAUCCUAGGGUUUGAGGUGAAGAAAUUGGGAGUUUUGCUUGAAAGUGGGAAACGGGAAAGAAGUGGCGGAUGACAUUCUACCACAGACUUAGCAUGAAUUAUGAGCUUAUUUUGUUAUUUUUGUACUUGGGUCACUCUAUUUUUGUAAGACUAAGCAUAAUGUAUUUUGUACGAUGACUUAUGGACUUUAAAUAUUAUACAUAUACCUAUGGGCUUGUAAGGCAUAGAUAUUUGAUUUUAAUCUUGUAUUUUGGGAUUGUAAUUAUGAUACUUGGAUGAUAUAGCAUGUGGUUGUACCACCAUGGAAUGUAGUAGAUGUUUAUUGGGUUGG